CGCACCAGUGUCGAGGACUCGAGGUGCACAUUGUGAUUGUGCUUGAGACGAACGCGACGACUCUCCAAUUGCAAAACCCAACCAAACCCCUCUGUUUUUUUCGAAUCGACUCUCCGAAGGCCUCGAGAGUCGAGACUCCGCCCGCUCCCUGCCAUGGCUCCCGGUGCUCUAACCCGCCUCCUCCGCGUCGCGUCCACUCCUCGCAUGGCGCGCCCCUUCGCAGCAAAGUCCCGCGCAUCUCGUCGGCCGCAGGAUCCGGAGCUUCCGACGGGGGACGAGAACGACUUCGCCGGCAGCGAGGUUGCCGCCCCCACCGAGAGCAUCGACAAGCCGCUGGCCGAGGUGCUAAAGGAGCUCGGGAAGAGGGUUCCGGACUCCCUCGUGAAGACCCGCGUCGAGGAUAAUGGCUUCACUAUGAAGUACAUCCCAUGGCACAUCGUGAACAAAAUUCUCAACAUACAUGCUCCAGCGUGGUCGGGUGAGGUCCGCAACAUUGUGUACUCAUCUGAUGGGAAAUCAGUAUCUGUUGUUUAUCGAGUGACUCUUCAUGGGAUUGAUGCAGAGACUCUCGCCUCCUGCCUCCACCGCCAGGCACCCUGCAUGCCUGCACCCAGCAGUCCAGCACCUCAACCAAUCCUAUCCGCUGCUAGCACCUUGCUGCUCUCGAAGACAUUUACUGCUUGUGUCCGGAAUUCUGAAAUCUGAAUCCUGAUUCUGUGGCUGCCGCCUGCCAGUACCUUGCGUCCGGAAUUCUAAAUCCCGAUCCCUACUUGCUAUCCGGAAUUACUAAGCAUCAAGAUCUAUAGAGAGGCCACUGGAACUGCUUCUGUUGAUGAUACAAUCUAUGGUGAUCCCGUACAGAAGGCAGAAUCUAUGGCUUUUCGUCGCGCUUGUGCGCGUCUUGGUCUUGGACUUCAUCUCUACCAUGAAGAUAUGUCAUAGAUGACUAAUGUUAGUUUUUGUGGCAUGCUUCCAGUUUGUUGCGGACCAUUGUCCCUUAAUGGCUACUCAUUUUCACCGGGCAUGCUUCUUUUUCUUUAAUGUGAUAUGGAUGUGCAAGUGUUUGAAAUUUAGGCUGUCGUGCUAUAUGUAAGUUACCAAAGUACCAAUGCAACUACUGUUCUGAGCUGUUUGCUUGUUAAGCAGCAGCUUGUUCCAAUGUCUAAAUUCUUGAGUACAUGUUCAUGAAAGCUUGGUAGUUUUGUUUUC